rnacentral:rRNA from 1 species
AAUAGAUACCCGGGUAGUCCACGCCGUAAACGAUGAGUGCUAAGUGUUGGGGGGGUUUCCGCCCCUCAGUGCUGCAGCUAACGCAUUAAGCACUCCGCCUGGGGAGUACGGUCGCAAGACUGAAACUCAAAGGAAUUGACGGGGGGCCCGCACAAGCGGUGGAGCAUGUGGUUUAAUUCGAAGUAACGCGAAGAACCUUACCAGGUCUUGACAUCCCGGUGACCACUAUGGAGACAUAGUUUCCCCUUCGGGGGCAACGGUGACAGGUGGUGCAUGGUUGUCGUCAGCUCGUGUCGUGAGAUGUUGGGUUAAGUCCCGCAACGAGCGCAACCCUUAUUCUUAGUUGCCAUCAUUCAGUUGGGCACUCUAAGGAGACUGCCGGUGAUAAACCGGAGGAAGGUGGGGAUGACGUCAAAUCAUCAUGCCCCUUAUGACCUGGGCUACACACGUGCUACAAUGGACGGUACAAACGGUUGCCAACCCGCGAGGGGGAGCUAAUCCGGAUAAAACCCAUUCUCAGUUCGGAUUGUAGGCUGCAACUCGCCUACAUGAACG